GAAAUGCACGGUCAGUCGCACAAACAGACAAGGGAAAGCUAAACUUGUCAUUUCAUCUUAUGACUUUUAAAAGACGCAGCGGUGAUGGAGAGCAGCUGUUAAUCACAAUGACUGGCAGCCCUCGGUGUAACCACGGAUUUGCAGCAAACACUUUUUACAGGGUGAUGACUUACAGCAGGAAGGCAGGUGUGUCAAACGAUCAAGAAUCAGAAAGAAGCCUGAGGCCGGGUCACGACCUGUCAGGAAGCAGAACCUCCGCAGCAACAACAAGGAAGAGAGCAGGGUGGAGGUCACAGAAAAUUUUCUUCAGCUGUCAUAAAAUGUAGCUCAUCAAUUUCCUGCUGAAACAAGCGCCUUCAAUGAAGGGUGCUGAUCCCAGACAGACUCUUUGGCACCAAAGAAGUCAGGUUGACUUUGACCUCAGGACCCCUCAGGGUACCGCUCCAUCCUAGGACAUCUGAACCAGGCUUCAGCAUCAUCCAGUUCCUCCAUCUCUAUUAAAGCACAAAGCUCUCAGCAUAUUACAGCACACCUAGAUGUAUGGGUCUUACAAAUCAACUCAAAGAACUUCA